rnacentral:rRNA from 1 species
CUCUUGAGUGGAUCCUGAGUACGACGGAGCACGUGAAAUUCCGUCGGAAUCUGGGAGGACCAUCUCCUAAGGCUAAAUACUCUCUAGUGACCGAUAGUGAACCAGUACCGUGAGGGAAAGGUGAAAAGCACCCCGGAAGGGGAGUGAAAUAGAACCUGAAACCGUGUGCUUACAAGUAGUCAGAGCCCGUUAAUGGGUGAUGGCGUGCCUUUUGUAGAAUGAACCGGCGAGUUACGAUUUGAUGCAAGGUUAAGCAGUAAAUGUGGAGCCGUAGCGAAAGCGAGUCUGAAUAGGGCGUUUAGUAUUUGGUCGUAGACCCGAAACCAGGUGAUCUACCCUUGGUCAGGUUGAAGUUCAGGUAACACUGAAUGGAGGACCGAACCGACUUACGUUGAAAAGUGAGCGGAUGAACUGAGGGUAGCGGAGAAAUUCCAAUCGAACCUGGAGAUAGCUGGUUCUCUCCGAAAUAGCUUUAGGGCUAGCCUCAAGUGAUGAUUAUUGGAGGUAGAGCACUGUUUGGACGAGGGGCCCCUCUCGGGUUACCGAAUUCAGACAAACUCCGAAUGCCAAUUAAUUUAACUUGGGAGUCAGAACAUGGGUGAUAAGGUCCGUGUUCGAAAGGGAAACAGCCCAGACCACCAGCUAAGGUCCCAAAAUAUAUGUUAAGUGGAAAAGGAUGUGGCGUUGCCCAGACAACUAGGAUGUUGGCUUAGAAGCAGCCAUCAUUUAAAGAGUGCGUAAUAGCUCACUAGUCGAGUGACACUGCGCCGAAAAUGUACCGGGGCUAAACAUAUUACCGAAGCUGUGGAUUGUCCUUUGGACAAUGGUAGGAGAGCGUUCUAAGGGCGUUGAAGCAUGAUCGUAAGGACAUGUGGAGCGCUUAGAAGUGAGAAUGCCGGUGUGAGUAGCGAAAGACGGGUGAGAAUCCCGUCCACCGAUUGACUAAGGUUUCCAGAGGAAGGCUCGUCCGCUCUGGGUUAGUCGGGUCCUAAGCUGAGGCCGACAGGCGUAGGCGAUGGAUAACAGGUUGAUAUUCCUGUACCACCUAUAAUCGUUUUAAUCGAUGGGGGGACGCAGUAGGAUAGGCGAAGCGUGCGAUUGGAUUGCACGUCUAAGCAGUAAGGCUGAGUAUUAGGCAAAUCCGGUACUCGUUAAGGCUGAGCUGUGAUGGGGAGAAGACAUUGUGUCUUCGAGUCGUUGAUUUCACACUGCCGAGAAAAGCCUCUAGAUAGAAAAUAGGUGCCCGUACCGCAAACCGACACAGGUAGUCAAGAUGAGAAUUCUAAGGUGAGCGAGCGAACUCUCGUUAAGGAACUCGGCAAAAUGACCCCGUAACUUCGGGAGAAGGGGUGCUCUUUAGGGUUAACGCCCAGAAGAGCCGCAGUGAAUAGGCCCAAGCGACUGUUUAUCAAAAACACAGGUCUCUGCUAAACCGUAAGGUGAUGUAUAGGGGCUGACGCCUGCCCGGUGCUGGAAGGUUAAGAGGAGUGGUUAGCUUCUGCGAAGCUACGAAUCGAAGCCCCAGUAAACGGCGGCCGUAACUAUAACGGUCCUAAGGUAGCGAAAUUCCUUGUCGGGUAAGUUCCGACCCGCACGAAAGGCGUAACGAUUUGGGCACUGUCUCAACGAGAGACUCGGUGAAAUCAUAGUACCUGUGAAGAUGCAGGUUACCCGCGACAGGACGGAAAGACCCCGUGGAGCUUUACUGUAGCCUGAUAUUGAAAUUCGGCACAGCUUGUACAGGAUAGGUAGGAGCCUUUGAAACGUGAGCGCUAGCUUACGUGGAGGCGCUGGUGGGAUACUACCCUAGCUGUGUUGGCUUUCUAACCCGCACCACUUAUCGUGGUGGGAGACAGUGUCAGGCGGGCAGUUUGACUGGGGCGGUCGCCUCCUAAAAGGUAACGGAGGCGCUCAAAGGUUCCCUCAGAAUGGUUGGAAAUCAUUCAUAGAGUGUAAAGGCAUAAGGGAGCUUGACUGCGAGACCUACAAGUCGAGCAGGGUCGAAAGACGGACUUAGUGAUCCGGUGGUUCCGCAUGGAAGGGCCAUCGCUCAACGGAUAAAAGCUACCCCGGGGAUAACAGGCUUAUCUCCCCCAAGAGUUCACAUCGACGGGGAGGUUUGGCACCUCGAUGUCGGCUCAUCGCAUCCUGGGGCUGUAGUCGGUCCCAAGGGUUGGGCUGUUCGCCCAUUAAAGCGGUACGCGAGCUGGGUUCAGAACGUCGUGAGACAGUUCGGUCCCUAUCCGUCGUGGGCGUAGGAAAUUUGAGAGGAGCUGUCCUUAGUACGAGAGGACCGGGAUGGACAUACCUCUGGUGUACCAGUUGUCGUGCCAACGGCAUAGCUGGGUAGCUAUGUGUGGACGGGAUAAGUGCUGAAAGCAUCUAAGCAUGAAGCCCCCCUCAAGAUGAGAUUUCCCAACUUCGGUUAUAAGAUCCCUCAAAGAUGAUGAGGUUAAUAGGUUCGAGGUGGAAGCAUGGUGACAUGUGGAGCUGACGAAUACUAAUCGAUCGAAGACUUAAUCAAAA